CUACGGGUCGCUGCAGUGAGGAAUAUUGCACAAUGGGGGGAACCCUGAUGCAGCAACGCCGCGUGGAGGAUGACGCAUUUCGGUGUGUAAACUCCUUUUAUAUGUCAAGAAAAUGACGGUAGCAUAUGAAUAAGCACCGGCUAAGCUCCGUGCCAGCAGCCGCGGUAAUAGGGAGGGUGCAAGCGUUACUCGGAAUCACUGGGCGUAAAGGACGCGUAGGCGGGUUGGAAAGUCAGGUGUGAAAUCCUACAGCUUAACUGUAGAACUGCACUUGAAACUUCUAAUCUAGAGUAUGGGAGGGGGAGAUGGAAUUAGUGGUGUAGGGGUAAAAUCCGUAGAUAUCACUAGGAAUACCUAAAGCGAAGGCGAUCUCCUGGAACAUUACUGACGCUAAGGCGUGAAAGCGUGGGGAGCAAACAGGAUUAGAUACCCGUGUAGUC
rnacentral:rRNA from 1 species